rnacentral:rRNA from 1 species
UGGGGAAUAUUGCACAAUGGGCGCAAGCCUGAUGCAGCCAUGCCGCGUGUAUGAAGAAGGCCUUCGGGUUGUAAAGUACUUUCAGCGGGGAGGAAGGGAGUAAAGUUAAUACCUUUGCUCAUUGACGUUACCGGCAGAAAAAGCACCGGCUAACCCCGUGCCAGCAGCCGCGGUAAUACGGAGGGUGCAAGCGUUAAUCGGAAUUACUGGGCGUAAAGCGCACGCAGGCGGUUUGUUAAGUCAGAUGUGAAAUCCCCGGGCUCAACCUGGGAACUGCAUCUGAUACUGGCAAGCUUGAGUCUCGUAGAGGGGGGUAGAAUUCCAGGUGUAGCGGUGAAAUGCGUAGAGAUCUGGAGGAAUACCGGUGGCGAAGGCGGCCCCCUGGACGAAGACUGACGCUCAGGUGCGAAAGCGUGGGGAGCAAACAGG